rnacentral:rRNA from 1 species
UACGUAGGGUGCGAGCGUUGUCCGGAAUUAUUGGGCGUAAAGGGCUCGUAGGCGGUCUGUUGCGUCGGGAGUGAAAACUCAGGGCUUAACCCUGAGCCUGCUUCCGAUACGGGCAGACUAGAGGUAUGCAGGGGAGAACGGAAUUCCUGGUGUAGCGGUGAAAUGCGCAGAUAUCAGGAGGAACACCGGUGGCGAAGGCGGUUGCCUGGAGCUUUGCUGACGCUGAGGCGCGAAAGCGUGGGGAGCGAUCAGG